GAAGUGCGAUAAGCAAUGCGAAUUGCAGAACCGUGAGUCAUCAGAUUUUUGAACGCAACUGGCGCUGGCUGGGUCUCCAGCCAGCAUGCUUGUUUCAGUGUCUUGUUUUCUCCACUCCACACCUGAAAUCAAGCAAGAUCACCCGCUGAACUUAA
rnacentral:misc_RNA from 1 species